CGGUUUGGUCAGUCCUCCGGGAAAUCUGACAGCUCAACUGUUAGGCUUUCGGGGGAUACUGCCAGACUUGGAAUCGGGGGAGGUAAGAGGUACUACAGGGGUAGGAGUGAAAUCUUGUAAUCCCUGUGGGACCACCUGUGGCGAAGGCGUCUUACCAGAACGGGUUCGACGGUGAGGGACGAAAGCUGGGGGCACGAACCGGAUUAGAUACCCGGGUAGUCCCAGCCGUAAACGAUGCUCGCUAGGUGUCAGGCAUGGCGCGACCGUGUCUGGUGCCGCAGGGAAGCCGUGAAGCGAGCCACCUGGGAAGUACGGCCGCAAGGCUGAAACUUAAAGGAAUUGGCGGGGGAGCACAACAACGGGUGGAGCCUGCGGUUUAAUUGGACUCAACGCCGGACAACUCACCGGGGGCGACAGCAAUAUGUAGGCCAAGCUGAAGACUUUGCCUGAAUCGCUGAGAGGAGGUGCAUGGCCGUCGCCAGUUCGUACUGUGAAGCAUCCUGUUAAGUCAGGCAACGAGCGAGACCCGUGCCCACUGUUACCAGCAUGUCCUUCGGGAUGAUGGGUACUCUGUGGGGACCGCCGGUGUCAAAUCGGAGGAAGGUGCGGGCCACGGUAGG
rnacentral:rRNA from 1 species